rnacentral:lncRNA from 1 species
AGGUGAUGAUCAUGGAUAGCGACCUUGUGAUGUGCAUAUAUCAUGUGAUGAUGUGAAUUUUUGUAAUUUAAUAAGGAUCCAGUAUUAGAUUAUAUAUAUAUAUAUAUAUAUAUAUAUAUAUAUAUAUAUAUAUUUUUUUUUGGUGCCUGCGCGUGCCAAUUAAAUUAUGUAAUUUGGAGACCUGCGUGUCUUAUUAAUUUUAUGGGUUGUAAAGUUAUUGUUGUAAAAUUAAGAAGGCAAAAGGAUAGUUUAGGUUUCAGAGGGAUUCGUUGCAUUCAAGAGUUGAUGCGAUGCGGAUCAAGUUUGGACCAGAUGUUGAUCAAGGGAGAAGACAAGAGUUGAUCAACUCAAAUCCGAUCGAGACGCAGAAUAAGAAAAGGUUUUCUUGUGUGUAAUACCCUUAUGACCCGAUUCCGGCCUAGUGGCUCAGGCCCGAAUCAAGAUAUUAUCCAUGAUCAUCACCGGUAGUUAUUUUUAUAUAUGCGAUGAAUGUAUGCAUGUGAUGUGAUGGUUUGCAUGAGAUGUAAAUUAAUAAUAAAUUAAAACUGAUGAGACAACUAAUCUCCCUAAAUAAAAUAUUAAGUUAAUGGUGUUAUGAACCCAUUAGUGGCCUUCCACCGUUGUAGGGUGUGGGCGUCUCUUUAGUGUUGAUUGAUGCACCCGGAUACGGGGGUCAGUUGCAUUAGGGAGCCGCAACCAUUCUAUUGGCAUGAGAUGC